AAAAUAUAAAAUGUCUGAAUAACAUAUAUUCUUAUUUGAGGCAUUGAAGCUUGAAGGAUAUUAUUACCCAGCACCCAGCGCUGUGCUGCUGGAAAUAUCAUUGUUCUUAAAUUUACAUAUUUAUUUUUCUAAACUUCAUGUACAUGCAACACUUUUAUUGAUCAAUAUCAUCAUCAUUAUCUCCGAUACAUCCUUCGAGAUUAAGAGUCUGAAAAAGUUCACCUGAGACGCUGAGACAUGCAGUAGCAGGGAUAUGUAUAUAUAUAUACAUUGUAGGUUUCAUGGACAAAAAUUGUAAUAGUAUUGAUGGGGAUAUACAGUUAAAGUAGAGCGUGCGUGCAG
rnacentral:lncRNA from 1 species